AUGAAGAACGUAGCGAAAUGCGAUACUUGGUGUGAAUUGCAGAAUCCCGUGAACCAUCGAGUCUUUGAACGCAAGUUGCGCCCGGAGCCGCGAGGCCGAGGGCACGCC
rnacentral:rRNA from 2 species